AGUUGGGCUGCGGAAAGAGUCAGAGAUACAAACCAGACUGCAGAGGAUACAAGGUUGGCCCAUGGAAUAAACCCAGACACUGCUAAGUGAGAACGCCAGCAGAAGCUUUGAGGCAUCAUGGACGAUGACUUUGACCGACGCAUGGAGCUGAGGAGGCAGCGGAGGGAGCAGAUGCGCGUCGAGGGAGACGGCGUGGGCGGGGGCAACGGCGAAGACGAUGAGGAGGCCUCCCGGGAGCGGAGGAGGCGUGCCAGGGAGGAGAGGAAGAAGACGAAGGACCCGGAGGAGACUGGGGCCGAGGCUGGGGAGGUCAUCGACACCAACAGUGUGACCGAGACCACCACCAUGGAGACCACCCUCUCCAACGAAACCACCGUGGACCACUCCACUUCCAACGAGGCCGCAGACGCUGACACCACCCCCGACGACGACGCUGCUGACCCUAGCCCCGACACCGCCGCCGCCGCCGACAACGCCCCCGCCGCCACGGAGGGAGGCGACACCGACGACCAGGUUCUGUUGGACCGCCUCGCCCAGAGGGAGGAGCGCAGGAAGAAGAGGAUGCAGGAGGCCCUGGAGAGACAGAAGGAGUUCGACCCCACCAUCACCGCCAACGGCAUGGACGAAGAAGAAGGGAAGGCUUCCGAGGGGAACGCGUCCCGAGAGGAGGAGGCGCCUAAAGAGGAAGCUGCUUCUGGACCCGAGGUUGUGGCGGAGGAGGAGAUUAAGGAGGAGGUUGUUGUAGCAUCAGACCAGGAAGUACAGCGGUCCGUUUCAGGAGAGGCAGACGAGGAGAGGGAGAAGAGAGAGGAGGAGGAGGAGAAACAGCAACAGGAGACGGAGGAAAGGAAGCGGAGAGAGGAGGAGGAGGCGAGGAAGGAGGAAGAGAGAAAGCAGCAGGAGGAACAAAGGAGGAGAGAACAAGAGGAGCAGCAAAGAGAAAAGGAGGAGAGGCUCAGGAAGGAGGCCGAGGAGAAGAAGAAGAAGGAAGCGGAAAUGGAGGCGAAGAGGAAGGAGGAAGAGCAAAACCGGAAAAAGGAAAUGGAAGAAAAAAACAAGGAAGAGGAGCAAAAGCGGAAAAAGGAAUUGGAAGACAAGAAGAAAAAAGAGCAGGAGGAAAAGCAGAAGAAGAAGGAGCUGGAGGACAAGAAAAAGAAGGAGGAUGAGGAAAAACUGAAAAAGGAAACGGCGGACAGAAAGAAGAGAGACGAAGAGGAUAAACUGAAGAAGAAGGAGGCGGAGGAGAAGAAGAAGAAAGAGGAGGAGGAGAAGCCAAAACGACUUGGUUUCAAGGAUAAGCUUGAACCAACCAAACAGACUGGAGCCUUCCCUGGCCUCAACCAUCACAAACCAGAGCCCACCCCGAGCCGCGACAGUGCUCUCUCCCCGGAGGAGGCGGAGCGGCUGGAGGCGGAGAAGAAGCUGGAGGAGCUGAAGCGGCGACGGGACAACGCGGAGAACGAGGAGCUGGAGAAGAUGAAGCACAAGGCGCAGCAGUCCGGGGCCGAGCUGGAGGGCCUGAAGAAGAAGAGGGAGGAGCGCAAGAAGGUGCUCGAGGAGGAGGACCGGAAGAGGAAGCAGGACCUGGCCGACAAGAAGGCCAAGGAACAGGAGGAGAGGAAGAGGAUGAGGGAGGAGAUCGAGAAGAGGAGGGCUGAUGCAGUGGAGAAGAAGAAACAGCUGGACGAGUCUGCGGACGCCAAGCCCGUCUUUCAAGUCAGCACCAAGGGUUCUGCCAAGAUCGGAGCAAAGGCCGACUUUUUGACCAAGUCGGCUCAGAAGAGCUCAGUCAGACCAAGCCCAGUCACUCCAAUCUUCUCUAAGAUCGGCAACAGACUAGAACAAUACGCAUCCGCCAUGCAGGGGAACAAAGAGACCCCGGUGAAGCCGCCCAAGUCCCCCAUGGUGGACAUCCCUUCAGGGGGGGCCCGCAGCAUAAAGAACAUGUGGGAGAAGGGCAACGUCACCAACCCUAUAGACCCCCCCAAGAAGGACACUGCUGGUUUCAAAGUGGGCGUGCCCGGGCGGCUCAACAGUCUGACGGCCAAGCCUGCAGAGGCAGCUAAAGCCGCCCCCGCAGCGCAGCCGGAACCAGAACCAGCACCAGCACCAGCACCAGCUAAAACCCCAGAGGCCACACCAGGUCCCAUCGGCAACAAGCGUGGCCAAUGGGAAGCCAAGAAGGUCACCACUCCUGGAAAGUCGACCUAAUGGAUUGGGCUAUGAGGUGACAUUCGGGGGCAAGGGCAAGUUUGUCACAAAUGCUUCAGCAGGCAUGAGACCCUAACCAGAGACCCCCCCCCCCCCCUCAACAACCACCCACCCCCCCACCUGACCCCAGCCAGCAGGCCGUCAGGUGCAGUGAUCACCUGGACACCGUCAGCGAGGCCCAAACUUCACACCCACCUCUGAAGAUAAUAAAGGACCUCAUUAAUUGAUCCUUAAUUAAACCACAGAUAAACCACAUCUAAAAUAUAUUUUUUGUAAAUAUAUAGGGGGCUUGAUAGAGGAUAGAUACCAAACGGGCUUUUUUACACUGCUAUACCCUUAGACAUGAACCCAAUCUGCCCUCACAUGGCUUCUAACAUGACUUCUAACAUGGUUUCAACAAGGUGGUCAUCCAUGUCCAUUCACACACAUGCACUUUCACACUGCCUAGCUGUUUGAUUACCAGACCGUGCCUGAUGAGACACCAAGCCGUGCACGUCAUAUCCAGCCAUCAUACACUAUCGGUGCUUAAAUCUGACCACUAGCACAUUUAUAAUCGGUAUAUAAUAUAUACUCUCCAGACACAAUCAGAGAGCAUGACAGUCAUACACAGUCAUUAUAUAAAUAAAAUGUAUUAAUAUUAUUAUUAUUAAUAUUGGGAUUAUUAUGAGUGGGAUAUGGUGCUCAGGACUGCAGCCAGAUCACUACAGACCGCAUCAUACAGGAAGUUGC